UACGAAGGGGGCUAGCGUUGCUCGGAAUCACUGGGCGUAAAGGGUGCGUAGGCGGGUUUUUAAGUCAGAGGUGAAAUCCUGGAGCUCAACUCCAGAACUGCCUUUGAUACUGAAAGUCUUGAGUAUGGGAGAGGUGAGUGGAACUGCGAGUGUAGAGGUGAAAUUCGUAGAUAUUCGCAAGAACACCAGUGGCGAAGGCGGCUCACUGGCCCAUUACUGACGCUGAGGCACGAAGGUCAGGGGAGCAAACGGG
rnacentral:rRNA from 1 species